rnacentral:rRNA from 1 species
UGGGGAAUAUUGCACAAUGGAGGAAACUCUGAUGCAGCGACGCCGCGUGAGGGAAGAAGGUUUUCGGAUUGUAAACCUCUGUCUUCGGGGACGAUAAUGACGGUACCCGAGGAGGAAGCCACGGCUAACUACGUGCCAGCAGCCGCGGUAAAACGUAGGUGGCAAGCGUUGUCCGGAAUUACUGGGUGUAAAGGGAGCGCAGGUGGGACAGCAAGUUCAAUGUGAAAUCUAUGGGCUCAACCCAUAAAAUUGCGUUGGAUACUGCAGUUCUUGAGUGGAGUAGAGGCAGGCGGAAUUCCAGGUGUAGCGGUGGAAUGCGUAGAUAUCUGGAGGAACACCAGUGGCGAAGGCGGCCUGCUGGGCUCUAACUGACACUGAGGCUCGAAAGCGUGGGUAGCAAACAGGAUUAGAUACCCUGGUAGU